CCGGGCGUGGCGGAAUUGGUAGACGCAAGGGACUUAAAAUCCCUCGGAGGUCUCUCCAUGCCGGUUCGAGCCCGGCCGCCCGGA
rnacentral:tRNA from 1 species